GCGCGAGUGGCUCAGUGGUAGAGCGUCUCCUUGCCAAGGAGAAGGUCGCGGGUCCGACUCCCGUCUCGCGCU
rnacentral:tRNA from 2 species